UCGUUUUGCUCUCUCUCUCUCUCUCUCUCUCUCUCUCUCAAUACCAACAGAAGAAAACGAAAAGACGAAAGCAAUAAUCGAUUUAUCAAAAUCCAAUCGAAGUUUUGAUCGGUUUCGAGAAAAAAUGGAUCUCUCCAAGUCGUCUUUUUCUUCUCCGAGUCCGCUUACUUCUUCUUUGUUAGGUCAGAAAUUUUUUGGUGACACAAUCGUCGCGCCGCAGCUUCGUCUCCAACCAGAGGUCGGAUAAGAUCCCAUAGUGAGUCUCACUCAAAAUUAUGUAUCCAAUUUUGUAAUUUUCAGAGGUUCUAGGAUUAAAUCGUUAACGAAGCUUCUUCUAAUUCUCUAUUGUUGUGCACAUUGGAGAUAAUAUUAUUUGUUUCUGUUUUUUUUUUUUUAUCAACAGUGGAACAAUAAUUGUGUUUCGUUUUUGCAGUAUGUGUUUGAAAGGUUUGAAGCUAAGUAUAUUGAGGUCUUUUUCUGUAUAAGGUAUAUAUAGGUCUGAAACUUGGCAAUGUAAAGAAGAAACAAUGAGCUCCAAUGGUGGUGGCGACGACUAUAGCACCAAAAGUAUUAUAAUACAUUACCAACUAUUUUGACCAUUGCUUGGUGUUUAUGUUGUUAUAGAUUGGUGCUUGCUUUGCUCGCCAUUGCUUGUGGAACUCGACGAGUGUCUUGGUUCCUUCUGCGGAGUUUUCUAGCUUAUCUAGCAAACCCAAUGAUUUUCUUCUUUCCUCUACUCGAAAGUUUAUUGAUUUUGUUGCUUACAUACACCUUUUGGGCUAUGAGGCUAAUUUCAUGCUUUCUGUGGUCUGUGGAAUGGGUCUUUCUUAAUUAUCUCACUGGGCGUUUUGCUUUACUCUUAUGUUUAACUGAGUUUAGUGGAGAAAUAUUCAUAAAAGGCUAUUAUUGAUGUUCAUAAAAUGCAUUCAUAAAAGGCUAGUUUUUGUUAAUUCUUGUUUGAUGUUCUUUUGUUAGGUUCUGAGUCAGCUGCUGGUAAAGAAACUGGUGCUCUUGAGUCCCAAACUGCUGCCGUACUAAUAACCGUGGCGAUGGUUUGCUUACGGCUGUUCAUAAGGAUUAUUUUAGAGUUGUGAGCUCGAGGGAUUUGCUUUUUAACGAUUGUGGUGACAAAGUUGCGCAGUUGCUACAUGUAGAAUUAGUUCCUCCGUACUCUCAGUACGAUGCUCAUCAACAAGUUUUGAUUGUCAAUACUCAUUUGCUGUUUCCUCAUGAUUCUACUUUGUCUGUAGUAAGACUGCAACAGGUUUAUAAGAUUCUUCAGUAUGUAGUGUCACAGUCUUUAAAACACUGUGAAUACAUAAUUGGGCAUUAGGUUGAGAGAUUUGGCCGAGACUAUGAUUGAUUUAUGACAUUGACAUUCUUCUCCUCAAGCUGGUUCUUGGUGUUGUGGAACUUGGUCUUCGUGUCCUGUCUCUUGCUUCAUCGUCUUCGCGUUUUAUCUGGAUUUCUUCACCUUUUUCCAACGCAAUCCCCAGUUUUGUGUCAUGUCUCUUGCUUCUUCUUUUAAGUAUCUUGAUUUCAUCAUCUCUACAACCUGCAGAAUUUUUUCCUUUGCCUCCAACUGCUCGUCUUUACGUGCGGUGCAUGAUAUUAGUUUUGUGCCGCUUGCACUGAUCGAGUCAGUAAAGGGAAACUUAGCUUAAAGAAUAUAUAUUUUUUAUUUAAAUGUUCUAAAAGGUCCUUAAUAUAGAUUUACGUUGUUAAUGAUCUGAAUGGACUUAUCUA